rnacentral:lncRNA from 13 species
CAUGGAUGAAUAUUCUUUUUCCUUUGGCUUGAAGUUUUAAGCUGCUUACAACAUGUGGAAUUCAAAGCUGCAGGCACACAACUGCCAGAACUGUCAGGAAGAUUAACAACAGGAUGGAACACCAGACUGUGGUUCCAGAAAACCAGCCUUGCAAAAAUGGGCAACCUCUUCAGAAUUGGUGAAAUAAUGAGAAAGAAGAAUUGCCCAGAACUUCAUGGAGCUGAGCCAUUUACCCAUCCUGGAAUAUCCACCUUCCAUGGAAUUUUUUUUAAUGUUUUUUCUUCUUCUUUAACCCACUAAUUAUCUCUCUUUUCCUCUCUCUCUGUCUCAUCUCCACUCCUUUCCACAACAACAUAGACUGUAUAUGAGUAUAUAUUUUAGCAUAUUGAAUAAUAAAGUACAUACACAAAUAUUUAUGGAACUGCUC